rnacentral:lncRNA from 1 species
AGCAUUAAUUAUAGAUAUUUUUUAGGACAUAAAAGUGAAGAAUUCAAAUGGAGAACCAAGUAUUGAAGGCUAUUGAAUUUUAUUAAGAAAAUACACAAGCUUCUUAAGUGGAACAAAAAGGAAGAGAGGAAGAAAAUUAAAAGUACUUUCAAUUCUAACCUUCCCACAUUUACUUAACUAAAAAGAGAAGAAGAAUGCAUUGAAUUAAGCUAACAACCA